rnacentral:rRNA from 1 species
UACAGCGAAACUGCGAAUGGCUCAUUAUAUAAGUUAUCGUUUAUUUGAUAGUACCUUACUACUUGGAUAACCGUGGUAAUUCUAGAGCUAAUACAUGCUAAAAAUCCCGACUUCGGAAGGGAUGUAUUUAUUAGAUUAAAAACCAAUGCCCUCUGGGCUCUUUGGUGAUUCAUGAUAACUUCUCGAAUCGCACGGCCUUGCGCCGGCGAUGGUUCAUUCAAAUUUCUUCCCUAUCAACUUUCGAUGUUUGGGUAUUGGCCAAACAUGGUUGCAACGGGUAACGGAGGGUUAGGGCUCGACCCCGGAGAAGGAGCCUGAGAAACGGCUACUACAUCCAAGGAAGGCAGCAGGCGCGCAAAUUACCCAAUCCCGACACGGGGAGGUAGUGACAAUAAAUACUGAUACAGGGCUCUUUUGGGUCUUGUAAUUGGAAUGAGUACAAUUUAAAUCCCUUAACGAGGAACAAUUGGAGGGCAAGUCUGGUGCCAGCAGCCGCGGUAAUUCCAGCUCCAAUAGCGUAUAUUAAAGUUGUUGUGGUUAAAAAGCUCGUAGUUGAACCUUGGGCCUGGCUGGCCGGUCCGCCUCACCGCGUGUACUGGUCCGGCCGGGCCUUUCCCUCUGUGGAACCUCAUGCCCUUCACUGGGUGUGACGGGGAAACAGGACUUUUACUUUGAAAAAAUUAGAGUGCUCCAGGCAGGCCUAUGCUCGAAUACAUUAGCAUGGAAUAAUGAAAUAGGACGUGUGGUUCUAUUUUGUUGGUUUCUAGGACCGCCGUAAUGAUUAAUAGGGACAGUCGGGGGCAUCAGUAUUCAAUUGUCAGAGGUGAAAUUCUUGGAUUUAUUGAAGACUAACUACUGCGAAAGCAUUUGCCAAGGAUGUUUUCAUUAAUCAGGAACGAAAGUUAGGGGAUCGAAGACGAUCAGAUACCGUCGUAGUCUUAACCAUAAACUAUGCCGACUAGGGAUCGGACGAUGUUAUUUUUUGACGCGUUCGGCACCUUACGAGAAAUCAAAGUGCUUGGGCUC